GCUUGGGUAGACGCAGGGGACUCAAAAUCCCCCGCCGCAAGGCGUGUCGGUUCGAGUCCGACCCCGGGCACCA
rnacentral:tRNA from 1 species